AUUGAACGCUGGCGGCAGGCCUAACACAUGCAAGUCGAGCGGAUGAAGGGAGCUUGCUCCUGGAUUCAGCGGCGGACGGGUGAGUAAUGCCUAGGAAUCUGCCUGGUAGUGGGUGAUAACGUCCGGAAACGGCCGCUAAUACCGCAUACUUCCUGAGGGUGAAAGUGGGGGGUCUUCGGACCUCACGCUAUCAGAUGAGCCUAGGUCGGAUUAGCUAGUUGGUGGGGUAAAGGCCUACCAAGGCGACGAUCCGUAACUGGUCUGAGUGGAUGAUCAGUCACACUGGAAGUGAGACACGGUCAAGACUCCUACGGGAGGCAGCAGUGGGGAAUAUUGGACAAUGGGCGAAAGCCUGAUCCAGCCAUGCCGCGUGUGUGAAGAAGGUCUUCGGAUUGUAAAGCACUUUAAGUUGGGGGGAAGCGCAGUAAGUUAAUACCUUGCUGGUUUGACGUUAACAACAGAAUAAGCACCGGCUAACUUCGUG
rnacentral:rRNA from 1 species